rnacentral:rRNA from 1 species
GAAGGUGGCCUGUGAGGGUUGCUGGAGGUAUCAGAAGUGCGAAUGCUGACAUAAGUAACGAUAAAGCGGGUGAAAAGCCCGCUCGCCGGAAGACCAAGGGUUCCUGUCCAACGUUAAUCGGGGCAGGGUGAGUCGACCCCUAAGGCGAGGCCGAAAGGCGUAGUCGAUGGGAAACGGGUUAAUAUUCCCGUACUUGGUGUUACUGCGAAGGGGGGACGGAGAAGGCUAUGUUGGCCGGGCGACGGUUGUCCCGGUUUAAGCGUGUAGGUGUGUGUUCCAGGUAAAUCCGGUUCACUUUAACACUGAGGCGUGAUGACGAGGCACUACGGUGCUGAAGCAACAAAUGCCCUGCUUCCAGGAAAAGCCUCUAAGCAUCAGGUAACAUCAAAUCGUACCCCAAACCGACACAGGUGGUCAGGUAGAGAAUACCAAGGCGCUUGAGAGAACUCGGGUGAAGGAACUAGGCAAAAUGGUGCCGUAACUUCGGGAGAAGGCACGCUGACAUGUAGGUGAAGUGAUUUACUCACGGAGCUGAAGUCAGUCGAAGAUACCAGCUGGCUGCAACUGUUUAUUAAAAACACAGCACUGUGCAAACACGAAAGUGGACGUAUACGGUGUGACGCCUGCCCGGUGCCGGAAGGUUAAUUGAUGGGGUCAGCGCAAGCGAAGCUCCUGAUCGAAGCCCCGGUAAACGGCGGCCGUAACUAUAACGGUCCUAAGGUAGCGAAAUUCCUUGUCGGGUAAGUUCCGACCUGCACGAAUGGCGUAAUGAUGGCCAGGCUGUCUCCACCCGAGACUCAGUGAAAUUGAACUCGCUGUGAAGAUGCAGUGUACCCGCGGCAAGACGGAAAGACCCCGUGAACCUUUACUAUAGCUUGACACUGAACAUUGAGCCUUGAUGUGUAGGAUAGGUGGGAGGCUUUGAAGUGUGGACGCCAGUCUGCAUGGAGCCGACCUUGAAAUACCACCCUUUAAUGUUUGAUGUUCUAACGUGGACCCGUGAUCCGGGUUGCGGACAGUGUCUGGUGGGUAGUUUGACUGGGGCGGUCUCCUCCUAAAGAGUAACGGAGGAGCACGAAGGUUGGCUAAUCCUGGUCGGACAUCAGGAGGUUAGUGCAAUGGCAUAAGCCAGCUUGACUGCGAGCGUGACGGCGCGAGCAGGUGCGAAAGCAGGUCAUAGUGAUCCGGUGGUUCUGAAUGGAAGGGCCAUCGCUCAACGGAUAAAAGGUACUCCGGGGAUAACAGGCUGAUACCGCCCAAGAGUUCAUAUCGACGGCGGUGUUUGGCACCUCGAUGUCGGCUCAUCACAUCCUGGGGCUGAAGUAGGUCCCAAGGGUAUGGCUGUUCGCCAUUUAAAGUGGUACGCGAGCUGGGUUUAGAACGUCGUGAGACAGUUCGGUCCCUAUCUGCCGUGGGCGCUGGAGAACUGAGGGGGGCUGCUCCUAGUACGAGAGGACCGGAGUGGACGCAUCACUGGUGUUCGGGUUGUCAUGCCAAUGGCACUGCCCGGUAGCUAAAUGCGGAAGAGAUAAGUGCUGAAAGCAUCUAAGCACGAAACUUGCCCCGAGAUGAGUUCUCCCUGAGACUU